CCUACGGGAGGCUGCAGUAGGGAAUAUUGGGCAAUGGGCGCAAGCCUGACCCAGCCAUGCCGCGUGCCGGACGAAGGCCCUCUGGGUCGUAAACGGCUUUUAUCUGCGAAGAAAAGAGGAGAUGCGUCUCUUUGUGACGGUAGCAGAGGAAUCAGCACCGGCUAACUCCGUGCCAGCAGCCGCGGUAAUACGGAGGGUGCGAGCGUUGUCCGGAUUUAUUGGGUUUAAAGGGUGCGCAGGUGGCUUGUUAAGUCUGGUUUGAAAGCAGGCGGCUC
rnacentral:rRNA from 1 species